rnacentral:lncRNA from 1 species
UUGCUUCCCUGUUGAAGUGAAGAUAUAAAUGUUCCAUUCUGACCCACCUUUGAAAAACAAUUACUUUGCCCCAUGGAUUCUUUGUUCAAUUAGAAAUUUCCCCGGGGCAGGUGACCCAUAGUCUUAAAGAACAGGCUAAACACCACAGAGAGAUUGGUUGCUUUUUGCUUUUCAUCACCUGCAAGAUGUACAUAAAAAUCACAUAAGCUGGAAUUCAACAAAAGGUAUGUUUAUGAACUUUUAUUCUCAAAAGUUGAAAUGCUGACUUUCUCGAUUCCUCAUUUUCAGACUUUUAUUUCAGAUAAAUACUAAAAACCUAAGUGAACCUUGAUAAUGCUGUAGUGUAGAUUACUUCACUACCCCAUAUAAUAGAAGGACUUGCUGUUUAGUUGUAGAGGAUAACAGCGUUUUUCAGUGGAAAUUGAAAGUGGAAAAAUUGAAUUUUGCUCUACACAGUUAACAUAUAGUGGCCUUUUUUUGGUAUAUAUGUAAACAUGUUGACACUGGAAAUACGCAGUCUGAAAUAAAAUUAGUAAUUACUUGAAAUUAGUAAUCUCAAAUAACUUUUAAGAAGUUAUUUCUACACCCAGGAAUAAAUUAUUCUGAUUUUGUAGACAACACAGGAAUAGGCCACUGAAUAUGCAGGUAUUUAGAGUACAAAUGUCUGUGGAUAUUAUUGGCACACCAUUCUCGAGAGUUAGAAUUCGUAGACCCGCAACACAUGGACUACCCUUGCCAAUUGUUAUGGUUUUAUUUUUAAACCUAUUCUGUGAAAAAGCUCCUCGGUAUUUCAAACUUGAAUUACAAUAAAAACACCAGGUAGGGUUGUUUUUAAAUGGGUCUCACCCCAGUGCUGACUACUGUUGUUUACCAACUACAUUUCAUCUGGUAACUCCAUUGAAACUAAGUACCUCAACCAUUUUUUUUUUUUAUCAUAAAGCCUUUUUUCAAAUGGAAAGUUGUUUUUGAAGAUCUUGACAUCAGACUUUUUCAAUCUUUGAAAAUGAUGGAAACAGUUAAUAAAAAUGUUUAUUUUAGAAUUCAGGUGAUGUCUGGCUUGUGAGGAGCUGUUUAUAAGUUUGUCUUUGAAAAAGGCUUGCACACAUCACUCUGAGACCAGCUGUUUCCUGUGACUUUAACCUUACCUUCCCCAGACAAUUGAGCUGAACCUGUAUCUGCGACUCUUCUGGCAGAUGUACCUGCAACUUGGAAAGAUAACAAAUGAACCAAUUCCUUACUCCAGAGUUGACACUGGUAGUGCUUACUGAAUUUGCUCUCAAAAAAGAAUCCUGGGCAACAAUACAUCUGGCACUCUGCUCGAGGAAUUUGUCAUGUCAUUGACAUGUUCAGCCUCCAUUGUCCACACCACCCUGACAGCAGGUCCUUUAUAUUUCAAAGAAAUUGCAGCCUGAAUUAAUAUAAUUAGAAUGUAACUGUUAUUCACUGCAGAAACUCCUUAUUUCCAGAAGUAAAGAUCUGAUAGCAUGUCUGUACUUAAAAUCUUUCCCAUGAUGGCUGGAGGGGAGCAAGCAGAUAAUAAAAUGACAGAAUAGAUGCUAUUUCACGGGCUUUUUAAAGUAUUAACUAAUGGAAAUAUAGGGGGAGAAGAAAACUGUUCUACCCUUGGCAUGUAUAAAUGGAAACAUCUUUUAAGUUUACUAGCCUUUAUAGUACUUCUAUAAAAUAUGUUCUGAAAAGUAACUAAACUCAGAGAAAUAAAUUAAAUCAGAAAAAUUAGCUAUCUCCAAAAAAUAUGCAAUGAAGCAUGAAGUAGAGUGGCUAAUUCAUAGACAGAAUUACAGAUUUAAGAGAUGGUUGAAUAACUUUAGUCAUUUUUCCCUGCUUCCCUUUGAACAGUUGAUGUCACUAACUAGGCAACUGUCACCAAGUUGGUAACUUGAGUGCUGGAUUUUUGAAUUUUAUUCUUUGUUAGCAUUCUGUUUCUACAAAUACAUGAUUACUGAUAUAGUGGAAACUGACAUUGGCAUUUUUCUUUUGAAAAUAAGAUUGAUUCACAUUCUUUUAAAUAAGUUAAUUUUCUCACUGGGAAUGACUCAUUUGAGGGGGAACAAUGGC